rnacentral:rRNA from 1 species
UGGGGAAUAUUGGACAAUGGGGGCAACCCUGAUCCAGCAAUGCCGCGUGUGCGAUGAAGGCCUGCGGGUUGUAAAGCACUUUCGGUGAGGAAGAAACGCUCAAAUAUAAUACAUUUGAGAACUGACGUUACUCACAGAAGAAGCACCGGCAAACUCUGUGCCAGCAGCCGCGGUAAUACAGAGGGUGCAAGCGUUAAUCGGAGUUACUGGGCGUAAAGGGCGUGUAGGCUGACAUUUAAGUCGAUUGUGAAAUCCCUGGGCUUAACCUAGGAAUUGCAGUCGAUACUGUAUGUCUAGAGUAUGGCAGAGGAAAGUGGAAUUCUCGGUGUAGUGGUUAAAUACGUAGAUAUCGAGAAGAACACCGGUGGCGAAGGCGGCUUUCUGGGCCAAUACUGACGCU